rnacentral:rRNA from 1 species
AGUGAACGCUGGCGGUAGGCCUAACACAUGCAAGUCGAACGGCAGCACAGUAAGAGCUUGCUCUUACGGGUGGCGAGUGGCGGACGGGUGAGGAAUACAUCGGAAUCUACUUUUUCGUGGGGGAUAACGUAGGGAAACUUACGCUAAUACCGCAUUCGACCUACGGGUGAAAGCAGGGGAUCUUCGGACCUUGCGCGAUUGAAUGAGCCGAUGUCGGAUUAGCUAGUUGGCGGGGUAAAGGCCCACCAAGGCGACGAUCCGUAGCUGGUCUGAGAGGAUGAUCAGCCACACUGGAACUGAGACACGGUCCAGACUCCUACGGGAGGCAGCAGUGGGGAAUAUUGGACAAUGUGCGCAAGCCUGAUCCAGCCAUACCGCGUGGGUGAAGAAGGCCUUCGGGUUGUAAAGCCCUUUUGUUGGGAAAGAAAAGCAGCAGGUUAAUACCCCGCUGUUCUGACGGUACCCAAAGAAUAAGCACCGGCUAACUUCGUG